UACGAAGGGGGCUAGCGUUGUUCGGAAUUACUGGGCGUAAAGGGCGCGUAGGCGGCAAUUCAAGUCAGCUGUGAAAUCUCCGGGCUUAACUCGGAACGGUCAGCUGAUACUGCUUUGCUAGAGUGCAGAAGGGGCAAUCGGAAUUCUUGGUGUAGCGGUGAAAUGCGUAGAUAUCAAGAGGAACACCUGAGGUGAAGACGGGUUGCUGGGCUGACACUGACGCUGAGGCGCGAAAGCUAGGGUAGCAAACGGG
rnacentral:rRNA from 1 species